ensembl:lncRNA FAM224B family with sequence similarity 224 member B
UGCUCCUCCUUCCACCUCUCCGAUUCCACCUCCUCCUCGCACCCCGCUGGGAACUCCUCCAGGGGCUGAGAUUGGAUUCACCGAGCCUGGUGAGAAUGACUCAGGAGUGGUUGUCCGAGGGUGUGCCCCUGCGGUUCCUGUCCGAGUAGUGUUCACGCGUGCCCAGUGGUGGCCGAUGGGGUCACGGCCCCUCUCCCCACCCCAGGCGCGCGGCGAUGGGAUAUGAACCAGUCACUGCCUUUGUGCUUUCCUCCUCUCUCCGCUGCCCCGGUCAACCAGCGGAGAGUGGGGAACUGCGGGCAGGUCGGCGGAGUUAGAUGGCAGCAAAGGUGGGCCGGCUUGGUGUGAUAAAGUUCCAACUGGGUCCUUCCGCGAGCCCUGGGUCCAUAAGAUGUCAUCGGCGAGCGCUGGACUUGACCGUCAACUUGGGAUUGUUAAGGUAAAUGGUGUCUCCUUCUGUCGCCAAGGCGGUGGCAUGGUCUCGGCUGGCUGCAAUCUCCACCUCCUUGCUUCCAGCGAUUCUCCUGCCUCAGCCCCCCGAGUAGCAGAAAUUACAGGAUUUGUCGCUGAUGCCUUACUUCAUUCACUUUGUGAGGUCAUGUUUUCCUGGAUGGUGACAAUGCUAGCAGAUGUUCUUCAGUGUCUGGACAUUAAAACUUUGGCAUGCAGCACCACAUAAGAUGUGAAAAAAAGAUUUUUUUUAAAAAAAAGAUGAGCAUUAAUUGUAGACUUCACUGUGUGGGGUUAUUCGUAGCUAUCUUUCUUGGGAAGGAUUUCCACAUAUUUGAAAAGAACCCAGAGUUGAUCUCUGCACCACGCCAUCACUGCUGGUGGUGAGGAAAUGGUGCCUCUUUCAGUGAUAUGAAGUUAAAACCAGGAGGGAAGAUCAGUGGAGCCUUCUUUCUGCCAUCUUGUGUUACCUUUGCAGCCAAGAAUCAGAAUGAAGAACUUUCAAUAAGAAAAGCUUUCAGAACCAGGAAGGACGUAGAAGAUGUCCUGGUUCUGUACGUUUAACAUUGGACUGUUUCUUCAACUUAGGUGCAUAACAGUGACUAAUCAGGGAUUAUCAUAGAUAAUUUGACUUGGAAUAUAGAGUUCAUUCAAAUACUUUAUCUAGACAAUUUAAGUACUGGCUGAUUUGGCAUGAAAAUCUGACAAACUAUUUUCUUGGUAUUCAAUUGAUUUUUACUCUGUUUGCUGUAGUAGUUUUAUAAACCAAUCAGUCUUCAUUAAAGUUCUGGGAAUUCUUACCCUGUUCAAAUGAUAUGAUUCUAACGUUGUCAAAAAUCUGUAUUCAAGAAUACUUCUCAGGACCUUUUCCAUCCUUUCAUGAAACUCCUUAAAGAUACAGUAUUCUAUAAUUUUGCAAGCUUGUAAAGUUUUCAGAAUUUGAAAUGCCUCACAAUUAAGCAAUUUACUGUAGAAAUGAUUUUAAAUUUUCAUAGACACAGUUGACAAGAAAAUUUUAUUAUUUACAGGAGUGACCCACCACACCAGGCCUCUGAAGUUCAUUUAAUAAAAUUUUAUAAAUAAAUUUAUCAAAUGUGUCAUCUUUGAAUCCCAGAUUUUUGUGAGCCUAUGCUUUAGAUUUUCCCCCAACUUUCUCUAUUUAUCUAGUUGUAUCUAUUUUUUACUUCUUCAAUUUGAAACCUUAAGUAACUUAAAAAAAUUAAAACACAUUUUUUGCCUUUAUAAGUUUUCUAAUCAAAAGUUUAUCUUCACAAGUCUGUAAUCCCAGCACUUUGGGAGGCCAAGACAGGUGCAUCAGUUGAGGUCUAGGGAUUGAGACCAGCCUGGCCAACAUGGUGAAACCCUGUCUGUACUAAAAAUACAAAAAUUAGCCCAGUGUGGUGGUGAGCACCUGUAAUCCUAGCUACUUGGGAGGCUGAGGCAGGUGAAUCGCUUGAACCCAGGAGGCAGAGUUUGCAGUGAGCUGAGAUCAUGCCACUGCAUGCCAGCCUGGGCAACAGAACAGGACUCGGUCUAAAAUAAUAAUAAUAAUAACAAUAAAGAAUCAUAUCUUGCUUUUUCA